rnacentral:rRNA from 1 species
GCAAAGGUAGCAUAAUCAUUUGCUCUAUAAUUGAGGGCUAGUAUGAAUGGAAUAAUGAAAAAUUUUCUGUCUUUUUUUAAUUUUUAGAAAUUGGUUUUAUUGUGAAGAAGCAAUAAUAUUUUAAUGGGACAAGAAGACCCUUUUGAGCUUUAUUUUUAAUUUAAGUUUUUUAAUUUUAAAAAUUUGGUUGGGGCGACCUAGGAAGAAUUUAAUCUUCCUUGAUAAAAAUAUUUUUGAUCCAAAAUUUUUGAUUUAUAGAUUAAGUUACCAUAGGGAUAACAGCGUAAUUUUUUUUGAGAGUUCUUAUUGAAAAGGAAGAUUGCGACCUCGAUGUUGACUUAUGGGUUCUUUUAGGUGUAGAAGUUUAAAAAGUAGGUCUGUUCGACCUUUAAAACCUU